rnacentral:lncRNA from 1 species
AUGCUUGAAAAAGGAAAUGAGGAUUUCAAAGAAGAGAUUUUUAAACUACACAAUAAGAUUUUUCAUCUUGAAAAUGCUCUGAAACGCUCUGAAAAAGAAAAUUGUUUAUUAGAUAAGCAAGUUCAAAGAAUGCAAUUAAAACUGGAAACUGAUGAGCGAACUAUUCAAAAGUUAAUUGAAAUUCAAGAACAAAUGAAGGCAGAAAUUGAAAAUGAAAGAUCAUUAGUUAAAAGUCUGACUUCAGGACUGCAAGUAGAAGAAAACGAAGUUAAAAAAAACAAACUGCCAGUGCAAAGUGAAACUGAAAAUAUAAUGCCUGAGGAGAAAAGAGAAUUCCAAAAGGACCAUCUUACAAAACAAAAGAAAGAGCUGACUGACAAGAUAACAUAUGUAGCACCUGAUCAGGAAGCUGCUAAAAGAACACUGACUGCUGAAAAUGAUAAACUGAAGCAAUAUAAAGGUCAAGAAUGGCAAACCGUAGAAAGCCCUAGAAAAACAACUGAGCAAAGUAAUAUAAUAUGGAAAAAGAAAUUCCAGAUUCUACAAAAGAGCUUGCAUGCCAUUAAGGAUGAGAUGUUUCUUAGGCAAACCCUGCAACGUCGGUUAUUUGUGUUUAAAAGUACAUCCCUCAGUGAGACAAUGUCUUUUCCUGUUUAUAUUGAAAAUGAUACACAAGAUGUGAAAGGAUUCAGAGCUGGCUUAUAUUUACCUUUAACUUUGCCUCCAAUACAAUCCCAGUCUACUGAACAGCAGAAAGAAGGUGAAGAUAAUUUUCUUAGACUUACAAAUGCAACAAAAAAGGACAGUGUGUUUGAAGAUGCAGGACAGCAUGCAACAAGAAGGAAAAGGAUGUGA